rnacentral:rRNA from 1 species
UAAUACGUAGGGUGCGAGCGUUAAUCGGAAUUACUGGGCGUAAAGCGUGCGCAGGCGGUUCUGCAAGUCAGAUGUGAAAUCCCCGGGCUUAACCUGGGAACUGCGUUUGAAACUACGGAGCUAGAGUGCGGCAGAGGGGGGUGGAAUUCCACGUGUAGCAGUGAAAUGCGUAGAUAUGUGGAGGAACACCGAUGGCGAAGGCAGCCCCCUGGGCCGACACUGACGCUCAGGCACGAAAGCGUGGGGAGCAAACAGGAUUAGAUACCCUGGUAGUCCACGCCCUAAACUAUGUCAACUAGUUGUCGGGAAAGCAAUUUCUUGGUAACGAAGCUAACGCGUGAAGUUGACCGCCUGGGGAGUACGGUCGCAAGAUUA